GGGCCCUUAGUGUAGCUUGGGCAGUCUAACGCUGGAGCAACUAUCACAUCAGCUCGGGGAGCUGGUAACCGGAGUUCAAAUCUCCGAGGGCCCG
rnacentral:tRNA from 1 species